AGCGAACGCUGGCGGCAGGCCUAACACAUGCAAGUCGAACGAACUCUUCGGAGUUAGUGGCGGACGGGUGAGUAACACGUGGGAACGUGCCUUUGGUUCGGAAUAACUCAGGGAAACUUGUGCUAAUACCGAAUGUGCCCUUCGGGGGAAAGAUUUAUCGCCAUUAGGGCGGCCCGCGUCUGAUUAGCUAGUUGGUGAGGUAACGGCUCACCAAGGCGACGAUCAGUAGCUGGUUUGAGAGGAUGACCAGCCACACUGGGACUGAGACACGGCCCAGACUCCUACGGGAGGCAGCAGUGGGGAAUCUUGCGCAAUGGGCGAAAGCCUGACGCAGCCAUGCCGCGUGAAUGAUGAAGGUCUUAGGAUUGUAAAAUUCUUUCACCGGGGACGAUAAUGACGGUACCCGGAGAAGAAGCCCCGGCUAACUUCGUG
rnacentral:rRNA from 1 species